UACGGGGGGGGCAAGCGUUGUUCGGAAUUACUGGGCGUAAAGGGCUCGUAGGUGGCCAACUAAGUCAUGCGUGAAAUCCCUCGGCUUAACCGGGGAACUGCGUCUGAUACUGGAUGGCUUGAGUUUGGGAGAGGGAUGCGGAAUUCCAGGUGUAGCGGUGAAAUGCGUAGAUAUCGGAAGGAACAUCAGUGGCGAAAGCGACUUCCUGGACCAAUACUGACGCUCAUGUGCGAAAGCGUGGGGAGCAAACAGG
rnacentral:rRNA from 1 species